AGGACGAACGCUGGCGGCGUGCUUAACACAUGCAAGUCGAGCGGUAAGGCCUCUUCGGGGUACACGAGCGGCGAACGGGUGAGUAACACGUGGGUGACCUGCCCUCAGCUCUGGGAUAAGCCUGGGAAACUGGGUCUAAUACUGGAUAUGACUGCGCAUCGCAUGGUGUGUGGUGGAAAGUUUUUUCGGCUGGGGAUGGGCCCGCGGCCUAUCAGCUUGUUGGUGGGGUGAUGGCCUACCAAGGCGACGACGGGUA
rnacentral:rRNA from 1 species